GAUUUGAAUCCUUGAUCACCAGGGAAUGACACUAUUAAGGCUCUGAGGUUUCAAAAGUCCAAGCCAGGACCAGUGGCUUUCUCUCUUCCUGCUGCCCGUGGAUCCAGUUGUAGAACUAUCAGCAAUUUUUCAGCAACACAUCUGCCUGCACGCUGCCAUGCUGCCCUCCAUGAUGAUAUUGGACUAAAUAUCUGAACUUGUAAACCAGCCCCAGAACCUCAAGAACACAAUAAAACCAACAUGCAGCAGAAAUGACUACCCGCAAGUCUAGCAAGUCUGAAUUCUACCACCUACGGAGAACCAGGGCAAGGAGCCUUCUGGAAAUCAGCCAGCCCUGUUCCUGUGUCUUCAAGAAGAAAAUCUAGCCAAGACUAAAGUUAAACUGAGGCUCCGCUUCAGUGACGGCCAAUACCUGCCAGCUCAUACGGGUUGUGUUACGGCUUAAGUCUGAAGCGUUUCCCACCAGUUCAUGUUUUGAUGCGUCUUCCUCAACUGCUCUGGGAGGCUGAGCAACUUGAGGAAAUGGACCCUAGCUGGAAGAAAUAAC
rnacentral:lncRNA from 1 species